UAACGUAACUUAAGUUACCCACAGCCCAAGAUGGAGCCGCCUUGCGUCGGUUAGAUACUUUUCUUCUAUAGAAUAACAAUACCACGAAUGCAUCAAUUAAACAACUGAAUUUAAAAGUUGUAUUAAUCGUUUAGGGAAACCCCUAAACUGGAAAGGUGAUUAAAUUCUACAAAAUAAACGAUCACAGCACGAUUUUAAAAAACACUUAGGCUGUCCGUAACUUCAAAACAUCUUGUCCGUAACUUUUUUCAUCAUACCAAUAGAG
rnacentral:lncRNA from 1 species